CCUCCCCUCCCCCUCCUCAGAAAGCCUCCUUAGGGGCUCAAUCCAUUUCUUCUGUCAGGAGAUGGAGGCACAGGGAGAGAAAGAAGUGGGAGAGGAGGAUGCUGGAGAGGCAGGGAGGUGGCACAAAUGAAGGCAGAGGGUCCCAUCACUGACUUUCAAUCAACACAGUGCUGCUUCUGUUCACAAAGGUGGUUUCUCUGCUCUCUCAUUUUGCCUGAAGGCCUGUUAUAAGCUAUAGGCCAGAAACUAGGUCUUCUGAAAUUAACAACAAAGAAGAGCCUCCGAGCCCUGGGAGGAAGGACUGUAUCAGAUACUCCAAUUAUUGAUACUGCAAGAAAUACACUCACGGCUGCAGGUUUCCCAGAGAAGCUAAUCUUACCACUGUGGGUGGAGACCUGUCAGACUGUACCUGGGGCAUCGUUCGGAACUUCCAGGACUCCUGUAACCCAGCAGUAGAAGACUUUGUGAAAGCAGACAGCUGAUCCAAGGUCUGACAAAACAAGAAUUGAUUAUGUGGAUGAUGAGGGAAAUAUUGUCUUUGUUGGCAUUGUCUUUAAUGUUCUAUCUUUGAAGGGCAUACAAAGAAGCCCUUUGCCUGUAUUCUUGGGGCAUCUGUAGCUGGCUAUAUUUGAGCAAAGUGGAAUGUAAUACUGUCUGAAUGGUGCCUUAUUCCAAUUGACCUCCCAGAAUUCAUGAAAGGCAGUCUAAGGAAAUCUUAAUAGAGGUAACAAACUAAUGAGUCACAAAGGAAUGUAUACACUUUAAAUAAUGUCACAAAGGAAUGUAUAUACCUUAAAUAAUGUCAUCCAACUGGUAGACUACCUUAUAGCAUUCUUGUGAGGAUUAACCUAAUAAUCUGUGAAAAAGGUUUACUGCAGUGCCUGGCCUGAAGUAGUGGCUCAAUAAAG
rnacentral:lncRNA from 1 species